GAUGAACGCUGGCGGCGUGCCUAAUACAUGCAAGUCGAGCGAACAGACGAGGAGCUUGCUCCUUCGACGUUAGCGGCGGACGGGUGAGUAACACGUAGGUAACCUACCUAUAAGACUGGGAUAACUUCGGGAAACCGGAGCUAAUACCGGAUAAUAUUUCGAACCGCAUGGUUCGAUAGUGAAAGAUGGCUUUGCUAUCACUUAUAGAUGGACCUGCGCCGUAUUAGCUAGUUGGUAAGGUAACGGCUUACCAAGGCAACGAUACGUAGCCGACCUGAGAGGGUGAUCGGCCACACUGGAACUGAGGCACGGUCCCGACUCCUACGGGAGGCCGCAGUAGGGAAUCUUCCGCCAUGGGCGAAAGCCUGACGGAGCAACGCCGCGUGAGUGAUGAAGGUCUUCGGAUCGUAAAACUCUGUUAUUAGGGAAGAACAAACGUGUAAGUAACUGUGCACGGCUUGACGGUACCUAAUCAGAAAGCCACGGCUAACUACGUG
rnacentral:rRNA from 1 species